AAAUUUUAUUUUAACAGAUCCUACUGAUUAAGAGUUUGAUAAUUGAUACACGAUAUUUUAAAUUCGAAUUCUCAUUAUUUUAUAUUUUUAGUUGAAUUUAAUUGAAAAAAGUUGAACAAAACGAACAGCUUGCUAAUUUUCUCUGAAAAAAUAAAUAUAAUUGCACUUAUUUCAAACUUCAAGAUAAAUAUAUUUUCGUCUUCCAAUUUUAAUUUUUUAUAAUUAUUUAUUUAAAUAUUUUACUUGAGAGGAUGGACAUAUGUUGUUGUU
rnacentral:lncRNA from 1 species